GCUGGGUGUGGUGGUGCAUGCCUGUAAUCUCAGCUACUCAGGAGGCUGAGGCAGGAGAAUUGCUUGAACCCGGGAGGUGAAGGUUGCAGUGAGCCAAGAUUAUGCCACUGCACUCUAGCCUGGGUGACAGAGCAAGACUCUGUCUCAA
ensembl:misc_RNA Metazoa_SRP Metazoan signal recognition particle RNA